CGUAGGGUGCAAGCGUUGUCCGGAAUUAUUGGGCGUAAAGAGCUCGUAGGCGGUCUGUCGCGUCUGCUGUGAAAACUCGGGGCUUAACCCCGGGCCUGCAGUGGGUACGGGCAGACUAGAGUGCGGUAGGGGAGACUGGAAUUCCUGGUGUAGCGGUGAAAUGCGCAGAUAUCAGGAGGAACACCGGUGGCGAAGGCGGGUCUCUGGGCCGUAACUGACGCUGAGGAGCGAAAGCAUGGGGAGCGAACAGGAUUAGAUACCCUGGUAGUCCAUGCCGUAAACGUUGGGCGCUAGGUGUGGGGCUCUUUCCACGAGUUCCGUGCCGCAGCUAACGCAUUAAGCGCCCCGCCUGGGGAGUACGGCCGCAAGGCUA
rnacentral:rRNA from 1 species